rnacentral:rRNA from 1 species
UACGUAGGGUGCAAGGCGUUGUCCGGAAUUAUUGGGCGUAAAAGAGCUCGUAGGCGGUUUGUCGCGUCGAAUGUGAAAACCCGAGGCUCAACCUCGGGCCUGCAGUCGAUACGGGCAAACUAGAGUACUGCAGGGGAGACUGGAAUUCCUGGUGUAGCGGUGAAAUGCGCAGAUAUCAGGAGGAACACCGGUGGCGAAGGCGGUUCUCUGGGACGGUACUGACGCUGAGACGCGAAAGCGUGGGGAGCGAACAGG